rfam:Gossypium raimondii Chr04_contig_1011, whole genome shotgun sequence.
UGUUAAAAUUUCCAUCAAUUUCUACUGUUACAAAUUGUCAUAGCUGGUGAAAUAAAUAGUUACACGUGGUGUGCCAUGUGUACCUUAUGUUGACGUACAUGAGCCAAAUUGUAAUAGCAUAAAUGGAUGGACAUUUUAACA